CCACAGGGUUUCUGCUGCUGCUGCCUCAUGUUGCUCCCCUGACACAUGGUUUAUUCAUACACAAAGUAAAGGAAGCACCUCUCCCCCUUGUACCCCCCCCCCCCACCCACCACCACUCAAACCCUGCCUCACCCCAUCCCUAAAACCCCUUCUUCGACAUGGGGGUGAUGCAAGGCAACACGGUAGUGAAACAAUACCGCAGAAUGAACCAGUGACUUGGCCCACCUCUAUUGAUAGAAUACUGCAAUAAUAUCUAUUGUCUUGUCUGUUUGAUAUGGGAUAGGAUGAAGGUGAAUAUCACUACAGAUGAAGGACUUGUAUGCACGUCUGUGUAUUGACAUCCCAUAAUCCAAUGUAGGUAGGCCAUAGUCUGUUUAAGUGUUGAUGUAUCCAUAAUUCAUAUUUUCAUAAUUGAAAAUGAAUAAAUAAGCGAUGUGGUUCUAAGUUGGAGGUUGGUGAGGACGAAGAUGCUGAAAGAUAGAAAGAAUGAAUUCCUCAUUAAAAACAAACGAAUGAAACCGAGGAAAAGGGGACAAAGAUGAUGGAUGAAAGGCACAUACAGAGAAGAACGGAUCGACAGAAUGUGGUCCAGGUGUCAAACUCCAACCUCGAGAGGAAAUUGUGUUUAUUAAAUAGCAGCAUUUCCAAAUGUACAACCAUGCAUUUGCGGGUAGUCUGCACCUCAUGUUUCUUAUAUGCACACACACACAAACACGAGGGUGCUCAGGCACACACACACGCUCAUGCACACACACACACACACGCACAUGCACGCGCACACGCACUAACACAUGCACGCACGCACUCUUCUGCUGCUUCCUCAUAGAGUCAUGUAUUUUUCAUAGGUUUUGUUAUAGAAGUCCUCCAACGUGUGUGCAUGUGAGUGAUUUAUCUUAUGUAUGUAUCUUAUCACACAUCGCUGGACUACCCAGUUCAGAUUUUGCAAUUAGGUAUUUGUUUUUUUCUUGCACUCUUUUUCUUUUUUUUAGCCUUCCCUCUAUACCUUCAACUUUAAUUUCCAUUUUCCUUUCCUUCUUUUCGAAAAUUUCACAAAAACCCUUUUGGUUAACUCUUAUCAUAAAAUAAACCCAGAGUCUCCUAAUUUCAAUUUGGCUAAAACCGCCCCCUACGUCACCAGGUUUUGUUUUUUCGUUCUGCUUUGACUACAACUCCCACAAUGCAUCGGGGGUGGUGCCUCGCCGUGCUGCUGUCUCUCCGGCUGCAGCGUACCACUACGAUCAAGCAACCAGCAGCAGCGAGCAACGCUUUCUCUCUCCCCCCGACCUAAACAAUGACUACUACCAGCACCACUGAGCGGAGGUCGGGGAUCCAGUAGCAUGCGUAAAACACGGCACCAAAUCUCUCCAUUUCGCCGCUUUUCCAAACCGUUGACUUUAACGCGCCAGCUGUAAACAUGUGGAUACCCACUGAACACGAGAAAUACGGCGUCGCGUUGUGUUUUUACGCACGGGGGCUGUCUGCGGCCGUAGAUCAAACGUUGAAGUGAGAAAAACAAGCGACAGCCGAUUCAACAGCGCCCACCGAGGAGGUGUCUACCUAUCUGCCCCCAUGUGUGCAUAAAAUAAAUAACCCUAACUGAGGUGCGACCGAUGAGAGACGGUGUUAAUGUCUUCUAAUGAUAUUCCCGUGAGAGAUGGGACAGUGUGCGUGUGUGCAAUGCGCUGUCCAGCCCCCCCAUACACACUCCGAUAGCCAGUUCUCUCUCUCUCUCUCUCUUAUUUAUAUAUAUAUAUAUAUAUAUAUAUAUAUAAGGAAACAUAUCACAAAAAAACAUGUUUUGCUGUUUGGUUGCAGGUUCAAUUACACUGUUUGUGAUUAUUGGUUCCUUUAAUGUAUUUGGGUCCCUGUUCCUCUGCCAUCUUGACGCACACUCUGGCAUUAAGGUCUCUCUUUCUCUCUCUCGCUCUGUCUGUCUGUCUGUCUGUCUGUGUUUCUCUGUUACUCUCUCUCUGUCACCACUCUCCCCCUGGGCCCGGGGUCAGUCGUCUUGUCCAUGCAGGGCCCUGUUUCCCUGGCGUAAGCUGGUUUCUCUUCCCCAUGUUGACUCGUCUGUCUUCCGAGGCUUUCUCAUGCCACGGUGUUGUCACAUGAUAGCCCUGCUGCUGCCAGGUUAUGUGGGGUGGAUUCAAAUCACUUCACCUGCCCAUUGUCCCUCAUGAAGGACCGAUAGUCGAGGGAAAUCGAAUCCAUGCAAAACCACGAAUGUUGGAUCUAAAAUGAAAAAUCCCCUCCUGGAUUGUGAUCCAUGGGGAAGUUAGUUUAUACACGGGACAUAUUUAAUUGAAACGGUUAAAUACCUCCUAUUGUCCGAACACUGCUCAAAGGGCACUAUUUAAUUGGAUUAAAGGUCCCCUAAUCUUUAUUUUUUCUUCUUCUUCUUGCAAUAAGGCUGUUUAAUUGGCUGUGAUUUAAACAGGCUUUGGCACGGUUCCCUUGUCCUACUGGGUAAGGAAGCUGCUUGUUUCCUUGUUGUGAAAUAUCCCACCGAACACACACACACACACACACACACACACACACACACACACACACACACACACACACACACACACACACACACA